CCUACGGGUGGCAGCAGUGAGGAAUAUUGGUCAAUGGACGAGAGUCUGAACCAGCCAAGUAGCGUGAAGGAUGACUGCCCUAUGGGUUGUAAACUUCUUUUAUAAAGGAAUAAAACGAGGCACGUGUGCCUUUUUGCAUGUACUUUAUGAAUAAGGAUCGGCUAACUCCGUGCCAGCAGCCGCGGUAAUACGGAGGAUCCGAGCGUUAUCCGGAUUUAUUGGGUUUAAAGGGAGCGUAGAUGGGUUGUUAAGUCAGUUGUGAAAGUUUGCGGCUCAACCGUAAAAUUGCAAUUGAUACUGGCAGUCGUGAGUACAGUUGAGGUAGGCGGAAUUCGUGGUGUAGCGGUGAAAUGCUGAGAUAUCACGAAGAACCCCGAUUGCGAAGGCAGCUUACUAAACUGUGACUGACAUUGAUGCUCGAAAGUGUGGGUAUCAAACAGGAUUAGAGACCCUUGUAGUC
rnacentral:rRNA from 1 species